ACACACAACAACACAACGUUAACACAACAAUAACACAACCAUCAUCCAUCCAUCAAUCAAUCCAUCAUCAUCAUCCAUCCAUCAUAAAUCCAUCCAUCCAUCAUCAUCAUCAUCAUUCCAUCCAUCCAUCAUCAUCAUCAUCCCAUCCAUCCAUCCAUCCAUCAUCAUCAUCCAUCCACCAUCAUCAUCCAUCCAAACAGUUUGAGAGAAACUUUUCAGGAAGAAGUUUAACUUCUAAAACAUUAGUGUCUGUUAUUGAAACAAUUUUCUUCAAAAAGAGAAAAAAGGUAACAUCUGUUAAAAUGAAUAUUAUCUGUAGAAAGUCUAGAAGUAGACAGGUUCCAGUUAUCUGGUUAUCUGUACAAGGUCUAGAAGUAGACAGGUUCCAGUUAUCUGUUAUCUGUACAAGGUCUAGAAGUAGACAGGUUCCAGUUAUCUGUUAUCUGUACAAGGUCUAGAAGUAGACAGGUUCCAGUUAUCUGUUAUCUGUACAAGGUCUAGAAGUAGACAGGUUCCAGUUAUCUGUUAUCUGUACAAGGUCUAGAAGUAGACAGGUUCCAGUUAUCUGUUAUCUGUACAAGGUCUAGAAGUAGACAGGUUCCAGUUAUCUGUUAUCUGUAGAAAGUCUAGAAGUAGACAGGUUCCAGUUAUCUGUUAUCUGUAGAAAGUCUAGAAGUAGACAGGUUCCAGUUAUCUGUUAUCUGUAGAAAGUCUAGAAGUAGACAGGUUCCAGUUAUCUGUUAUCUGUAAAAAGUCUAGAAGUAGACAGGUUCCAGUUAUCUGUUAUCUGUACAAAGUCUAGAAGUAGACAGGUUCCAGUUAUCUGUUAUCUGUAGAAAGUCUAGAAGUAGACAGGUUCCAGUUAUCUGUACAAGGUCUAGAAGUAGACAGGUUCCAGGGCCAGAGCUGAACCAUCUGUGGAGAACAGGUUCUUCAAACUGAACGUUUCUGUUGAGAAGGUUCAGAAACUCGAGAAGACGUAAAUAAAGUC